rnacentral:tRNA from 1 species
AAGAAAGACAAAUACAAGAACUGCUAACUCCUGUAACUGAGACUAAAACCCCAGCUUUCUUA